GAUGAACGCUGGCUACAGGCUUAACACAUGCAAGUCGAGGGGCAGCAUUUCAGUUUGCUUGCAAACUGGAGAUGGCGACCGGCGCACGGGUGAGUAACACGUAUCCAACCUGCCGAUAACUCGGGGAUAGCCUUUCGAAAGAAAGAUUAAUACCCGAUGGUAUAAUCAGACCGCAUGGUCUUGUUAUUAAAGAAUUUCGGUUAUCGAUGGGGAUGCGUUCCAUUAGGCAGUUGGUGAGGUAACGGCUCACCAAACCUUCGAUGGAUAGGGGUUCUGAGAGGAAGGUCCCCCCACAUUGGAACUGAGACACGGUCCAAACUCCUACGGGAGGCAGCAGUGAGGAAUAUUGGUCAAUGGGACGGGAGUCUGAACCAGCCAAGUAGCGUGAAGGAUGACUGCCCUAUGGGUUGUAAACUUC
rnacentral:rRNA from 1 species